ensembl:lncRNA novel transcript, antisense to PPFIA2
AUUUGCUUUCGGGAAUAUUUGGAUGUUUUAGAACUAACAUUCUGCUUUAAUAAUCCAAACACACUAUAAUUCCAUCAAUUUGAGUCUCUUAAAAUGUUACACUGAAAUGAAUCUCUCUGAAGAUGGACUUAUUGAUUUCUAUAUUCUUCCUCUAGCAUCAUGAAAUUUGACCUCUUCAGCCGUGCAUGGUUAACACUCUUAGAGUGAUGUGAGACCAAGUUUUCUUCAAUGGCAUCCAUCUAUCUGAGUAAGUCCUGCCUUGAAGAAUCGUGAGUGCAAACCAGUUUGAGAGAGAAGAGGAAAAAUAAAUGUUUAGCAACCACUCAAGGAAAUUUAAAACACUAAAUUUCUGGACUUGCCAGACUAAGGGCCAGACUCUGGACCUCACCAAAUUCAUCAAGAUACACUACAAUAUAAGGAAAGUUGGAUGCAACUACAUAUGUCUUGCAUGAUCAGAAAAAUAUGAUAUAUUAAAAGAAUAUUCUUUCUGAAGAUUCACUCUCUGAAAAAAAAAGUUCUAAAAGGGCUUAUACAGAGCGAUUUAAAUACAAAAAUUUGAAUCAAUCAGCACUACAUCUCUGAAGUCAUGAAGAACAUCAGUGCCCAGGAAGAGAACUGCCAUGAGGGUGGGGUCACUUCAGACAGUCCCCACUGAGUCAAUGCCCAGUGGAGCCAUAGGGUUGGUUCUACCCUCAAGACCUUAGACUGGUAGAGCAACCAGAGUUCUAUUCCAGCACAGAAGAGCUCUGGUGUGGGCCGCACCCAGCAAAACCAAGCAGGGAUGCCUGGAGCCCUGGAGCCCAUUUGCCCAGUAAAGCUGAGAAGAUGGAGCCUCUACCCCACUGUGUCCACAAGGAGACCUCUGCC